UCCACACGGCAGGUGGCUGACGGAUAUAUGUGAAGUGAGCCUUAUUAUCUUGGGGCUAAAGGUCCUUAAAAUCAAUUUGUGCUGCAACUUAUAAAGAUACAUUGGUUUUGAUAUUAAUCCAGAGGUGGGGGGAGGUGCAGAGGAUUCUCAGAAAAAGCUGAAAAACCCCUUGAGCCCAAGGACAAAUGCUGCGGACCUGCUGAGC